rnacentral:lncRNA from 1 species
AUGCAGCAUUCACUUUUCUUUAAUGAAAAUAUGUUGAAACUCUUCAUUUGCUAGUUGCUACCAAACUCUGCACCAAAAACCCUCAAUUUAGAACAUCAACACAUAUGAAAAUAGAAUUUGAGAUUGUGAAUUUAACGAUAAUAUAGUGAAGUGAGAGAAUUUGAAGAUUACCAUGGCGGCGACUUGAGUUUGUUCUUGUUCGUCAAGCAGAUGGUUCUGCUUCAGCGGAUGCG